rnacentral:rRNA from 1 species
CGGUGUUUAACUGGCGUGAUGUGGGACGUCCUACCGGUGGGCUUAGCCUCGCGAGGGGCGGCCCAACUAAUAUCCCGUCGCGGUGCUCUUUACUGAGUGUCGAGUCGGGCCGGUACGUUUACUUUGAACAAAUUAGAGUGCUUAAAGCAGGCUAUCCUCGCCUGAAUACUGCGUGCAUGGAAUAAUGGAAUAGGACCUCGGUUCUAUUUUGUUGGUUUUCGGAACCCCGAGGUAAUGAUUAAUAGGGACAGAUGGGGGCAUUCGUAUUGCGACGUUAGAGGUGAAAUUCUUGGAUCGUCGCAAGACGGACAGAAGCGAAAGCAUUUGCCAAAAAUGUUUUCAUUAAUCAAGAACGAAAGUUAGAGGUUCGAAGGCGAUCAGAUACCGCCCUAGUUCUAACCAUAAACGAUGCCAGCUAGCGAUCCGCCGAAGUUCCUCCGAUGACUCGGGCGGGCAGCUUCCGGGAAACCAAAGCUUUUGGGUUCCGGGGGAAGUAUGGUUGCAAAGCUGAAACUUAAAGGAAUUGACGGAAGGGCACCACCAGGAGUGGAGCCUGCGGCUUAAUUUGACUCAACACGGGAAACCUCACCAGGCCCAGACACCGGAAGGAUUGACAGAUUGAUAGCUCUUUCUUGAUUCGGUGGGUGGUGGUGCAUGGCCGUUCUUAGUUGGUGGAGCGAUUUGUCUGGUUAAUUCCGAUAACGAACGAGACUCUAGCCUGCUAAAUAGGCGUACCUUAUGGUAUCGCGAAGGCCCCCGGCUUCGGCCGGUGGGUUUUUACUACCAACGUACAAACAAAUCUUCUUAGAGGGACAGGCGG